AUACUACAGAAAUGGAUAACAAAAUCUAUUAAAUGUUAAGUUGUAGUUUAUUUGAAUGAUUGUAAUUUCAAACUGACAAAUUACAACAAUACCUUUCUGAGUCUUGAUUUCUGCAUUUGCUGCAGAACUUUUGUGGUGGAGCAGGACCUGCAAGGAAAGAUGAUGGCAGCAUUUGUUGGGGAAAAAAGGUUUCAGGGAUUUUACUCAAAUAUAAAGAUCUGAAAAGUCUGCAGACUGGUGUGAGCACUGAGGAUGAGGAGCCCAGACCUGCAUCCUGGAAGUGGUGCCAUGGAUGAGUCCCUCCAUCUGUCCACCUGCCCUUAUGAGUUCCUCCAUCACUCCACCUGCCCUUAUUGCCUCAGAUUGUGAAGCGCAGCAACAAGCUCCGGCACGAAGGCACAGUCCCUUCUGGUGAAUUCAUCAGAAUAAAGCCGCAGAAUGGGAACCACUGUGUUGAGUCAGCAUUAGGAUGUGGUGUUCAGCGGCAGUAAAUACAUGCUUGUAGUUUGAAUAAAGCUUUGUUUCAUGUG